rnacentral:tRNA from 1 species
AUGGAAAAUUGCAUUUUUGGAAUUUGCAAUAAUGCGAUGGGCGAACGACAGGAAUUGAACCCGCGCAUGGUGGAUUCACAAUCCACUUCCUUGAUCCACUUGGCUACAUCCGCCCCUUAUCCAUCUAAAGGAUUUUUUUCUUUUUUCCAUUGAUCAUUAUUCUAUUUAUUCUGA